rnacentral:lncRNA from 1 species
GAUUACAAAGAAAGAACGCUGCAGAGGAGUGCAGUGGGGCACCUCAGCAAGAGAGGACUGAGCACACCAAGGUGGAUUUUCCUUAUGAGCAUUUAUGGACCUUAAGAUUAUCUUCUCCAGAUAUGAUCUAAUUCACAGAUAGAUCAAUACAGUCAUUGACAGAUGAUUAUUGCCGUGGAUUGCCAUUUACGGAGCAAUUACCAGGUAAGUGCUUUCUAUGUAGGCUGGGGUGAGGCCCAGGUAACCUCUGCUGACUUAGUUGUGCUUGUCUUGUAAAUGAUUCUCUGCCAAUAGGCCUUGGGUCUUGAUUUGUUUUUACUCUUGUGAGGUCAUGUCCUGAGACAACAUUGGGCAAUUCCCAAAGGGCCUUCUGUUCCCAACUAGAAACUUUGUAAGCCUUCCCUGGAGGGGGACAGCGGAGGUCAGGAGAUGGCUUCUAGCCAUAAACAGUUUGUUUUAAAGGACUUGUAUGAUGUGUGUAUUGAAGGGAUUCACAUAAAUAUUCAAAUGAAAUGAGUUGAAUUUGUUCUAAGAUGAUGCAAUAGCUAGGAAUAUUGAGUUAGGUGUUUGGAUGGGCAGCCAGGGCACAUGGUUUAAACAUUUGACACACUUGAAUUAAAUGGAUAGUGGAUAGUAAGAGUGGGCAUUUGAAAUAUGUCUGAGUGAGUGGCUUCCUCUGCAGCACUCCUGCAACAGCUCUCCCUAAGUGGCAGGUAUGGGUUUAUAUCCUAAAACUGAGUGUAGCAGUGCCCUCAAGCAGACCCACAAGGACUAGCUUGAGGCUGCUUUGUCUCCCAGAAAGCCAGUUGGCAGCAGCUAUCGGAGGGCUCUGCAGGCUUCCAAGUCCCCACCACUGCCCCAACACUUGGGUGCUCAGGGGGAACAUGAGGCCACUGAGAAUGGUCAUGUCACCCUGCCCUUCCCAUUCCUCCAUUGCCAACCUACUGAGAUUUGGGGCUAGCAUGAGAAUCUAUUCGUGUUAGCUUGCUAAUCAGGCUGUUCUAAACAAAGUGCCACAAACUGGGUGGCCUGCAUAACAGAAAUGGAUUGUCUCCCAUCUCUGGAAGAUAGAAGUGUGAGAUCAAGGUGUUGGCAGGGCUGGUUCCUUCUGAGAGCUAUGAGGAAAAACACGUUUCAUGGCCCUCCCUUAGCUACUGGUGGUUUGCUGGCAACCUUUGAUGGUCUUUGGCUUAUAAAGUUAUCACUCUGAUUGCUACCUUCAUUUUCACAUGGUGUUCCCCCUCUAUGCAUGUCUGUCCAAAUUGCCCUGUUUUAUAAGGACACCAGUCAUAUUAGGCUAGGGGUGCCCCCUAUUGCUACCUUCAUUUUCACAUGGUGUUCCCCUCUAUGCAUGUCUGUCCAAAUUGCCCCAUUUUAUAAGGACACCAGUCAUAUUAGGCUAGGGGUGCACCCUAUUCCAGUAGUACUCAAUCUUAACUCAUUACAUCUGCCAUGACCCUAUUUUCAAGUAAGGCCAUAUUCUGAGGUACUGGGAUUGAGGACUUCACCACAUGGAUCGUUGGGGGACACAGUUCAACCCAUAGCAUUUGGGAUAAAUUGAAAUAGCAUCAGCAUGAACACAGUCACUCUACUGGUUACUUCUGCCAACCAACCUUCAAGUCAGAAAGAAUCCUGUGGUUAAGGGAAAGGUUCUCCAAUCCAGUUGCAACAAGUUAAAGGUAUAGCCCGCUAGAUAUGGGUUAGUUUGCCCUGAGCUCUGAAUAUGACUUCUUCCCUGGGAAUCUUGGCUUGAGGGCACAUGUGGGAGCCUGCUUGCCAGGCACAGGGUAGCCUAUGGCUUUGGGAGUUUUGUUUUAAUCUGCCCUGUCACUUUCCAAAGGUCCGUCUUCUAAGCUUAUGCCAUUGUUCUAUCCUAGAACCAACUAUUUUCAUUCUUUGCUGCGUACCUUGUCUGCCCAUAUGAAUUCUCUCCUAGCCAUUCUCCAUACCACACAGAGGGAUUGUUCUAAAACACAAAUGUGAUAUUGUCAGUCCCUUGACUGACAAGACUUCAAUGGCUGUUGUUCUUUGGAUGGAGAUCAAAACACUUUCCGACAGGACCCGGAGGUCUCAGACAGGAGGCUUGCCAUCUGCGUUUGCACUUAUUUAAAAAACAAUUGAAUUGGUGACAUUCUGUUUCUUAAUCUGGGUGGUGCUGAACAAUGGUGUUCACUCUGUCAAUAUUCGUCUAGCUCUACACUUUGAUUUGUGGAUGUGUCUGUGCAUACAGUAUAUUCCAAUUUUUAAAAAUCUUCAAAACAACUGAAUGAGUUGCCCAAAGUUCUGGGAGUUCCUUGGUGGUAUUAUACUUUAUGAUCUUUUAGAUCUCUUGACCGUCACCAUUCAACUAGAGAUUUUUUUCCCCCUUUCUAUCCUGGGAGGAAAAAGAUGGAAUUAACAAACAGAGGUGAUUCAGUGAGUUACACUGUGUCACAAGGUCACAAGAUAAAUUAUGCACAUUGUGACAAGAAAACCGCAUGGUCCUAUAAAAUUAUGUGCUCUUUUUGUCCAGAAAUUAUGCUGGCUUGCUAUUUCCUGUUGUUAACUAAGAAUAAAGAGGGACCUGCCUGUUGCCCCUGCCUGCAGUGCCUGGAGGAGAGACAGAAGUCAUGACUGGCCUCCUUUCUGCCCCAGGGACUGCAUUAUUCCCCUCUGAAGCAACAGUCCUCCUGCUAGAGCUUGGGCAAGGAGAGGGGCUGCAGGCAACCCCUGUGUCUGCCCCAAGAAAAUGGGAGUUCUGAGCAACUUAGGCAUAUGGAAAAAGGAGCACUCUCCACAGAUGGCUGAAAAGCAUUGUUGGUAACAUCUGAAGCUUGAAUCUAGGGGUCAAUGACAAGCCCUUUAAGUUGGCCCUGUCUCUUGGAGUGCUGAACUGUUCCCACUGUUUAACAUAAAGAACCAAAGUAGCCCUUGCAAAGAGAGUGAGAAUAAUCUCUGACUCUGGCAGGCUCUUAGGACAUCAUAAUUUUAAAAUUGAGAGAAUUUUAAAAAAUCUAGAUUUCUGUCUUUCCUUGGAAAAUUGAGAUGUUGAACUACCCCACUAUUCUAUUUAAAAUUGCCAGGGGUGGUGGCUCAUGAUGGUUAUCCCAGCACUUCGGGAGGCUGAGGUGGGUGGAUCACCCAAGGUCAGGAAUUCAAGACCAGCCUGGCCAACAUGGUAAAACCCCGUCUCUAUUAAAAAUACAAAACUUAGCUGGGUGUGGUGAUGUGCAUCUCUAAUCCCAGUUACUUGGGAGCCUAAGGCAGGAGAAUUGCUUGAACCUGGGAGGUGGAAGUUGCAGUGAGCCAAGAUGGCGCCACUGCACUUCAGCCUUGGUGACAGAACGAGACUCCAUCUCAAAAAUAAAUAAAUAAAUACAAUUGCAGUAUCCAUGACAUCUUGUCCCAAGCCCCAUACUUUGUGCUUCCCUAACAUUGCUUUGCUUCCUCUCUUUCCAUAGCCCCAAGCAUCUCCUAACUUACCAUACAGUUUACUUAUUUAUUAUGUUUAUUGGUCUGUCUCCUUCUGCUGGAAUGUAAGUUGCAUGAGGGCAGGGCUCCUUGUUUUGCUCAAUGAUCCAUCUCAGGCCUUGAAUAUUGCAACCUGGCAUUGAAUAGUUGAAUGUAUGUAUGUUGAAUGAAUGUAGCCUGAAGCCUACAUUCCCAAUUUGUAGCAGUCACAUGACCUGCCUGGGCCCCUGAAGGCAUGUGUAUUUGCUAUGCCUGCCCCUACUGACCUGCAUGCCAGCUUUUCCCUUCUGUCCCCCUCAGGCUUGUUUCUCUGGCCACACUGGCCUGGCCUCUCCUACCCCACCACUGGCCCACUGCACUUGCUCAGCCAGAACGCUCUUCCUGCCCCUCUCUGCCUGGCUAGCUCCUGCUCCUGCUGUGUUCUCAGCUCAAGCUGUCCUUGAUCCCUUUGCCUAGGUCACUACCCCAAGCAUAGAGAAGAUUCUGCCCUUAGUCACUGACUAGAGAAAAUUCCUCUCAUUCAGUUUUAAGACAUAAAAAGCUCUUCCUCCCUUGUGAAUUAGUGUGCCCCCACCGGGCUACCCUGACCUCUGAGCUUAGGAUACAGGUGCUGCCCACGCCCCUCUGAGUCAACCCUGGAAACCAGUUCUACAGGGCCAGGCAAGGAACAACUCUGGGCCAAGGGCUGAAAUUACCCCACUGGUCUUCUGUCUACCUAGGACUUAUAUAAUGCUUGGCCUCUUCAUCAUGUUCUAUCUGUGUCAAUACUCAGGAGGGUGGUGAGAGGGCCUGGCCCCCCAGGGCAUUCUGGCAACAUGGUCAUCCUUCACAGCAGGGCCAGGACAAACACUCCCCAACCAAGUAACCACAUGACAGAGGGCCCUUCCUGGGCACCUGGAGGCAGACAGAUGGAGUUACCAAACAGGGGAUUCUGGGAAGGGUAACCCCAGUGGGCCAAAGAGAACUCUAGACUGACAGAGAUGAGGAACAGCUUCCCCUCUCUACUCAAUUUUGAGAUUAGGAAAUUGAAGCCCAGAGAGAGUUAAUGGUGCAUCCAAAGCACCACAGCACAGUGUCCCAACAGCCCCACAAGAACCCACAAGCUUCACUACGUUUUCUGGGUCUGGGCUUCUGGGGCUGGAAUGUCAGGAAUUCUAGGUUCUGCCCCCAUUAGCUGCAAGACCAAGGCUUAGAAAGAGACGAGAAUGGAUAGAAUGUUGCAGCUCUUAUCCAGGCAUAUACAAAAUACAGAUGACUGGGCCUCACACCUCAUUCACUCCAUCUGCAGGAGAGCCCUGACAUGUGGAUUUUGAAAGGCUCCUUGGAGAUGCUGACAAUCCAUGCUAGAUGGGCACCUGGAUGAUGCUUAAGUCCCUUCUAGCUUGACAAGCCCUCAGCCAUAGAUAUUAAAAUGAGGCUUGUGCUGGAGUGUAUCCCUGUCAUCAGUCUACAAGAGAAGCUCUCACUGGGGCAGCUGAACUCCCUAGGGAGCAUCCUGGAAAUUAAAAAAAAAACCUUUUGGUUGUCAUAAUGAUGAGGCUGGUGCCUCUGGCAUUCAGUGAGGAGAAUAAUGCGGUCCCUGGGGCAGAAAUGAGGCCCAUUAUGACUUCUCUCUCUCCUCCAGGCGCUUCAGGCAGGGGCAACAGGCAGGUCCCUCUUUAUUCUUAGUGAGGGAUGCAUCCCAUCACAAUGAAGAAUUGUCCUGAGUCCUGUACAUCUUUGGAAUGCACUGUCAGAAUAUUCAUAGAGGGGAAAAGCUAGUUCAUAGUCACAUGAGCCAUAAUCAACUUCUCUUUACAUGUAUGUUUAAAAAAAAAAAAAAAAAA